UCUGGGGUUGGUCGGAAUUCUCUUCCGAACCUCGUGGUGGUCUCGGAUUUUGCACAAGACCACCAAAAAAGGUAGUUUAUGUACGGACAACCUCUUAAGUCACUGGAAAAUUGCACGGCGACGAGGUCUUACUUCCUGGAAUUAGCUGGAAUGACGCACAACUAUAAUAUUCUGACCAAAGCUCUGAUACCAUGUGAGAAAGCACGGGAGAAAAAAUAUAACUUGAUAUUAACCAUGAUACAAUGAGCCCUAUAUAUAAUACACAUAACCUAACCUACUCCUAAUACACUUUGGACUAGAGUUCUACUAUAUUUACAUAUCAAAAUAUAACUUGAUAUUAACCAUGAUACAAUGAGCCCUAUAUAUAAUACACAUAACCUAACCUACUCCUAAUACACUUUGGACUAAAGUUCUACUAUAUUUACAUAUCUAACCGUUAGUUUGCUGAUUCCACCUUCAGUUGAGGCUGGUACUUUUCGGCUCUAGAUCUUUUUGGCUUGAUAACCUUGGUGUUCGAGUGUCAUUGAGCGUUGUUUUAUUGAGAGAUUUUCAUGGUGCCUAUACUGUUACUACAAAAACUGACUUGUGAACGUGUUCAAAGAAUCAUCUGAAACUUCCAUAAGGACGAUCUUCCUGGGUUUUGACCAUCAGUGGACCAGGCCGGCUAUUGGCCUCUAUGCCUGUGUAGAUGCAUUGUAGCAUGACUUUGUUUCUUUAGUUCUUUCCUAGAGGUUUCAGUUCUUGGUCCCCGCAGUUCUGUCUAAGUUCUUUCUCCACUCAGUCGGUGUUCCCUUUUAUAUAUACUAGCUUUGUCCUUGUUAUAAUGUUGUCAUUGCCCUGGAAUUUUAGCAGUCAUAAAGUAAAUGCCAGGUUCUUUAGAUUUCAUCAUGAAUAGUUUAAAUUUCAUAUACCAUGCACCCCCUGCCGUGAC
rnacentral:lncRNA from 1 species